rnacentral:rRNA from 1 species
CAAUAGCGUAUAUUAAUGUUGUUGCAGUUAAAAAGCUCGUAGUUGGAUUUCUGGUGGAAGCGACCGGUCCGCCCCUCACGGGGUGCGCACUAGCGUCUGUCUUUUGCCAUCCUUGCGAAGAAGCGGUGUGGCAUUAAGUUGUCGCGCCGUCUGACUCGCAUCGUUUACUGUGAAAAAAUUAGAGUGUUUAAAGCAGGCAAUUGCUGUGAAUACAUUAGCAUGGAAUAAUAAGAUAGGACUUUGGUACUAUUUUGUUGGUUUGCAUAUCAAAGUAAUGAUUAACAGGGACAGUUGGGGGUAUUCGUAUUUCGUUGUCAGAGGUGAAAUUCUUGGAUUUAUGAAAGACGAACUACUGCGAAAGCAUUUACCAAGGAUGUUUNCAUUA